rnacentral:rRNA from 1 species
AGAGUUUGAUCAUGGCUCAGAUUGAACGCUAGCGGGAUGCCUUACACAUGCAAGUCGAACGGCAGCGCGGACUUCGGUCUGGCGGCGAGUGGCGAACGGGUGAGUAAUGUAUCGGAACGUGCCUAGUAGCGGGGGAUAACUACUCGAAAGAGUAGCUAAUACCGCAUACGUCCUACGGGGGGAAGGGGGGGAUCGCAAGACCUCUCACUAUUAGAGCGGCCGAUAUCGGAUUAGCUAGUUGGUGAGGUAAAGGCUCACCAAGGCGACGAUCCGUAGCUGGUUUGAGAGGACGACCAGCCACACUGGGACUGAGACACGGCCCAGACUCCUACGGGAGGCAGCAGUGGGGAAUUUUGGACAAUGGGGGAAACCCUGGUCCAGCCAUUCCGCGUGUGCGAUGAAGGCCUUCGGGUUGUAAAGCACUUUUGGCAGGAAAGAAAUCGCAUCAAUUAAUACUUGGUGUGGAUGACGGUACCUGCAGAAUAAGCACCGGCUAACUACGUGCCAGCAGCCGCGGUAAUACGUAGGGUGCAAGCGUUAAUCGGAAUUACUGGGCGUAAAGCGUGCGCAGGCGGUU